CGACCUUUUAGUUAACAACGUCCAAUGGUCAUUUAACAAUCUCAUCUUCAACCUUGCUGCAGUAUUUGAUGCUGAACCACCCUUAGCUCCGUGCAGUUCUGCCUGUCUUCCUGCAAAAUUUAAUUGCUUGCCACCAGCAUCCCCAAACAAUAUUUGAUUGCUCAAGCCACCAAGGAAGAUCAAGAAAGGUAAUGAUGUUCAAACUUAAGAAGCUGAAUUAAUGCAAGGAUGCUCUCUUAACCUCUAGAUGAAGUUGGAUCUCUUCACUGGAGACAUACAAGGAACCAGCAGAUGGAAACAAGCUUUUUGUCUAGUAUAAGUUAGAAGAUAGCCCAGAACCAGCCAGCAUUGAAACGGCCAUGUCUCAUUUGCUUCCAGUUACCAAAUUGAGUCUUAACUGGGGACAUGGAAAUCAUUUUGCCAUCCCUGUCUGGAAUUCAGCAAAACAGAUUGCAAACCCUGAAACAUUUAAGGUUGGGGAUGGCCACUGACUUGAUUUAUUAGUGGAGAUGGGAGCUAUCAGAGCUGCUUGAUCAAGGCUUC